AUGAAGAGGCCCCGGGAGGGCAGGCUUGGCUUCAGGGCAAAUCCCACGUUCCUCCACAGAGAGGCCGCGCUAUCCCUGAGGGGCCUGGAGGCCUCACCCGCGGACACCGAGGGACGAAGGUUCUGCUGGACCCUCUGCACCUGGUUUCCAAGUCCCCCCGCCAGGGUCCCUGCUAGGCUGAGGGACUCUGCUCCUGGCCUCUCCUUGCGUGUGGGAUGCGUCACAGCGGAAGUACAGACACCAAGCAAGAUCAGUUCGGGGACAGCUCCAAGAGCCUUCCUGCGGGCACAGCUGCAAGUCAAGAUGAAGCCAGGACCCGAGCAACCCAACCGCAACCUGGGGGCCCCACUGAACGCCCUGAUUUGCUGCUGGAGCCUUGGGGGUGACGGCACCUGCUCCUCGGAGACCAAGAGCCCCAGCCUGCGGAGGGCCUGCUAGGGCAGUGGGAGAGUAGCAGCCAGGGGCGGAGCCUGCAGUGGGCGGGGCGGGCCCGGAGUGGGCGGGGCUGGGCGGGCCAGAGCUUCCCAGGUCGGUUCCCAGAGCCAACCCAGGGUUUCAAGAUGAAGCCAGGACCCGAGCAACCCAACCGCAACCUGGGGGCCCCACUGAACGCCCUGAUUUGCUGCUGGAGCCUUGGGGGUGACGGCACCUGCUCCUCGGAGACCAAGAGCCCCAGCCUGCGGAGGGCCUGCUAGGGCAGUGGGAGAGUAGCAGCCAGGGGCGGAGCCUGCAGUGGGCGGGGCGGGCCCGGAGUGGGCGGGGCUGGGCGGGCCAGAGCUUCCCAGGUCGGUUCCCAGAGCCCAAACCCAGGGUUUAAACACCAGCAUCGACCCUGAGCCCCAGUACGGAGGGCCAACGCCCCACUCCCACUGGUCAGCCUUGGUCAUCCUAAUACUGCCCCAGCCAGAGAGGGAAACCGAGGCCUAGAGCGGGGAAGUGGCCCCCGCGGUCACGCCAAGGCCACAGAGCAGGGACGGCGUCCACCGAGAUCAAACUGUGCGGAUCCGGGCUUCUCCGGGGCACUGACCCGGGCGUCACAGUGGCGCCGGCCGCGGGCUCCUCUGCUUGGUCUCUCACUGACUUCUGUUCAGGGCCAGCUUGACCUCUGUCACGUUCUCAAACUGAAGUCCCUUCCCAUUUCUCCUUACCUUCCAGGAAAAGCUUUUGUCGUGAAAAGAUGUUUUGGUUUUUUGGGACAGGGUCUUGCUAUGUAGCCCAGGCUGACCCUGAGUUUGAGCGAUCCUCCUGCCUCAGCCUCCCAAGUGCUGGGAUGCCAGGCGGUAGAUGCUUGGCUCAGUUUUAACCCCCAGGGUCACAGCAGGGCCCGCGUGGCCGUGACAAGCCU
rnacentral:lncRNA from 1 species